UACGGAGGGUGCAAGCGUUAAUCGGAAUCACUGGGCGUAAAGCGCACGUAGGCGGCCCGUUAAGUCAGAUGUGAAACCCCUGGGCUCAACCUGGGAAUGGCAUUUGAUACUAGCGCGCUCGAGUCUGAUAGAGGGGGGUGGAAUUCCAGGUGUAGCGGUGAAAUGCGUAGAUAUCUGGAGGAACACCGGUGGCGAAGGCGGCCCCCUGGAUCAUGACUGACGCUGAGGUGCGAAAGCGUGGGUAGCAAACAGG
rnacentral:rRNA from 1 species